GCCCCGCCCCGGGAGGACCACACUUCCCAGGUGCCCCCGCGGCCGGCGGUGACGGCUCUGCUCCCGGGGGCUGCCGGGAGUUGUAGUGCUGCCGUCUAUGGCGCGCGUAAGGCGCGGAGGGCCCCGGCGUCGGGGGCUUGGCUGGGCGGUGCUUCCCGCUAGGCCCAAGCGCGCGCGAGGGCCGGGCUCGAGCACGUCGCCUCAGGGCGGGGCGGGGAGCGCUGACGCACCAACGGUUUUCUGCUCCCCUAGGGCGGCGCCCCGCUCCGCUCCGCUCCGCUCCUUUCCGCCGGCGUUUCGUGGUGCCGCGGCUGCUUCUCACUGGUGUGUCGUCAGUGAGUGCCAGCACGUCUCGCUUUCUAUGCUUUCUUGGAUAAUUCUUAGAGUCAGUGUAACAGUUUUCCUUGAUAGCAACUGGAUCAUGCAACUACUCCCUACUGAGCAAGUUCACUUCUGCAGCUAGCCUGAAAAGGUCUGAUGUGCUGAUUACUGAAGAAGUCAAGAACUUUCUAUUGCUGUUCAACAAAUUGUCCAUUGAAUAGUUAUGCUCGGAUCUGUCAACUCUUAAGCAGUAUACUUAUCUAGACUAGCAGGCUGUACUUCAGAUUUCUGAAAGAAUCUGUAUCCUUUUUCAAGUGCAAUUGGCCAGAAUGACUGUAGCAUCCGAAUGAGCAACAGAAGUAGAAGAUAGCUAUUAGUCUUGUCCUGAUAAUCAGAAACAGCAGGGCGUCUCACACUCUUGUUCUGUGAACUGUUUUAAUGAAGUGGAAUAGAUACAGCAGACACCACUUCUAUCGUUGGUUUUGAUGGCUAAAUAAAAAUAGCUCAAGUCAGAAUCUUUGUACA
rnacentral:lncRNA from 1 species